UACGUAGGGGGGCAAGCGUUGUCCGGAUUCAUUGGGCGUAAGAGCGUGUAGGCGGCCAGGUAGGUCGGUUGUGAAAACUGGAGGCUCAACCUUCAGAGGUCGACCGAAACCAUCUGGCUAGAGUCCGGGAGAGGAGAGUGGAAUUCCUGGUGUAGCGGUGAAAUGCGCAGAUAUCAGGAAGAACACCCGUGGCAAAAGCGGCUCUCUGGAACGGUACUGACGCUGAGACGCGAAAGCGUGGGGAGCGAACAGG
rnacentral:rRNA from 1 species